AGGAUAAACGUCGAAGAACAAGGACGAGGAAAACCGACGACCCCGCUGUUUGCCUUUUAUUAAACUCUUGUUAAACGCCGCCUUUCUUCGCACACACAAUUGAAUCGGCAAAACAGCGAAGAUAAUGCUUCGACCGAGUUGUACACGGCCGAGGGCCAGGCUCUUCUACGUGGAAGACUUACCGCAAACACCAGCUUCUUGUACACCCUGAAAUGGACACCGUGUAAUCCGGCUUUUUAUACGACAGUGCCGCAUUGACCGGCUCCUCCAAGGCAUGCACAUCGGCUACUACUGGCUAAUAAAUACUGCCGUCAUCUCUUUCUCUCUCUCUCUCCCUCUAUACGUUUCCGUUUGUUCGUGAAAAAGAACCCUGAAAACGAUUCUUCAACGACCGUGAAAAUCGCACGGCCCACCCUCUUCCUGCCGGCAUCGUUCACCUCUAAUGAAAAUAUUUGGAUAUUUCGAGCAAGAUUGGCGUGGCCCACGUUUCAAAGCGUGCCAUUGUACGCCGUUGCUUCGAGAAGCUUGUAAUUCGAUAAGACCGGAAAUCAAAGGUUAUAAACAGCAAAAUACCGACACAAAGUGGCACGAGAUAUCGUGGAAUGCGUGUUGCAAUUCGUAGAAUUGCAAUGGGAGUCCGAGUCACGUACAAAAUAAGCGCGUAAUACAUUUAAUAACCCUUGUGCAGUUCGUCGACAAUUUUUCUACCUAUUCCUCUCCUCUUUCAAAUAAACUUUCCAAUUUUAUAGAAAAACCAUCGAUAACAAAUUUCUGUACAUUAAAUUUGUUUUGAAAUUGAAAAAAGGGGAAUACGAUUCAAGAACCAUCGUUGAAUUUAUUAUUAAACGAUACCGGUAACGUCGAUUAUUAUAUUUGUAAGUUCGUUAAAAAAUAAGUUACGGUACAGUCAAUUUCUCGUUACGAUUUUUUUUUUUUUUUUUUUACAAUUACCACCAUCGACAAAAGAAAGGACGGGAGAGACGGAAGCGUGGAAAUCAAAUGGAAGGAAGAAAGAAAAAAGAGAAUAUAGUUGUGCACAGUUUAUAAACAAUGUUUAUUUUCUGCAAUUUUACUUCUGUUCCAUAUCGUUUCGUUCUUUUUUCUUUUCCUGUUUUAAUUCUCUUUUACAAUCAUAGGAGCAGCCUACAUUUAACGUGAUUGAAAAAUCUUGCGCUAUUGCGAGUGUGAAUGUUGAAUAUGUAUACAGCAAAUAUACAUGUACAUAACACACACACAUAUAUAUAUACACAUACCUUUUCAUUUCAUUCUUAUCUUAUUUUAUAUAAUGUAUAUCGAGGUAAAAACUAAGUACUCAUACAAAACGUAGAUCAACAUUUUUUUAUUCUUUAUUUUUUUCACUUUUCUCUUUCUCGUUCUGGUGGGAUAUCGUUUAUAAGGGCACAUUAUAGGACUCUCUAUGUGUACAUACAUAUACAUAUGCAUGUGUUCUCUAUACAUAUAUUAUAUAUACACAUACAUUUUACAUACUUUCAAAGAGAUAUGACAUCCGGAUAUCGCUUUCUUCGUUCAACUCGACUCAACAAAAUUCCACAAUAUACCUGUGUGAUUCUCUUCCUUCCCCUUCUGCUUGUCUUUCUUUCUUCUAUUUUUCCUUUCCCUUCUCUCCCUUCCUCGUUUCUAAGCAUUUUACAACUCGCUUUUCGCUCCCUAUUGACUAGUGACACUGAUAAUUGACUAAUAAAUACUGACCUGCUACGAGAUUAA